AUGGCCAACGCAGCGUUUUCGCAUUUUGAUGGCCUGGUGGGCACCGCUGUGGACCGGGCGCACACGCUGGACCUCUCCCAGCUCAUUGAGCCCGGCGACCUAGCAUGCCUAGACGCGCCCUUCAGCCAGGAGGAGAUUUGGGAGGCGGUCAAACGCAUGCCGGCGCGCAAAGCGCCUAGACCGGAUGGCUUCACCGCGGAGUUUCUGCGCGCCUGCUGGAGCAUCAUCCGCCAUGACAUAUGGGACGUUUUUGAACUGCUUUACACGCUGCGCGGCCGCGGGUUCAGCAAGCUUAACCAAGCGCUGCUGACCCUGUUGCCUAAGCGCGCGGACGCCCACACGCUCGGUGACUACCGGCCGAUCUGCCUGAUCCACAUUGUGGCCAAGAUCUUCUCGAAGGUCCUGUCAUUGCGCCUCGCUCCCAAGCUUGAUACCCUUGUAAGCCGCAACCAAAACGCAUUCAUUGCCGGGCGCAGCCUCCAUGAUAACUUCGUCCUAGUCCGGCAAUCCCUCAAGAUGCUGCACCAACUUGGCGCACCCAGGAUCAUGCUCAAGCUUGACCUCACACGCGCCUUCGACUCCAUCUCGUAG
rnacentral:rRNA from 1 species